rnacentral:rRNA from 1 species
UACGGAGGGUGCAAGCGUUAAUCGGAAUUACUGGGCGUAAAGCGCACGCAGGUGGCUGAGUCAGUCGAUUGUGAAAGCCCUGGGCUUAACCUGGGAAUUGCAGUCGAUACUACUCAGCUGGAGUAUGGGAGAGGGUAGUGGAAUUCCCGGUGUAGCGGUGAAAUGCGUAGAUAUACGGGAGGAACAUCAGUGGCGAAGGCGGCUACCUGGCCCAAUACUGACACUCAGGUGCGACAAGCGUGGGGGAGCAAAACAGG